rnacentral:miRNA from 1 species
AGCUGGAGCACAAAAGCCGGUG